rnacentral:rRNA from 1 species
GACGAACGCUGGCGGCGUGCCUAAUACAUGCAAGUAGAACGCUGAAGAGAGGAGCUUGCUCUUCUUGGAUGAGUUGCGAACGGGUGAGUAACGCGUAGGUAACCUGCCUUGUAGCGGGGGAUAACUAUUGGAAACGAUAGCUAAUACCGCAUAACAAUGGAUGACACAUGUCAUUUAUUUGAAAGGGGCAAUUGCUCCACUACAAGAUGGACCUGCGUUGUAUUAGCUAGUAGGUGAGGUAAUGGCUCACCUAGGCGACGAUACAUAGCCGACCUGAGAGGGUGAUCGGCCACUCUGGGACUGAGACACGGCCCAGACUCCUACGGGAGGCAGCAGUAGGGAAUCUUCGGCAAUGGGGGCAACCCUGACCGAGCAACGCCGCGUGAGUGAAGAAGGUUUUCGGAUCGUAAAGCUCUGUUGUAAGUCAAGAACGGGUGUGAGAGUGGAAAGUUCACACUGUGACGGUAGCUUACCAGAAAGGGACGGCUAACUACGUG